rnacentral:rRNA from 1 species
AGAGUUUGAUCCUGGCUCAGGAUGAACGCUAGCGACAGGCCUAACACAUGCAAGUCGAGGGGCAGCGCGGAGCAAGCUUGCUUGUUCUGGCGGCGACCGGCGCACGGGUGCGUAACAGGUGUGCAAUCUGUCCAUAAUCGGGGAAUAGCCCAGCGAAAGUUGGAUUAAUGCUCCAUGUGAGCCGAGGAGGCAUCUCUUUGGUUUGAAACGCGAGGAUUAUGGGUGAGCACGCUUCUGAUUAGGUAGUUGGUGAGGUAACGGCUCACCAAGCCGACGAUCAGUAGGGGUUCUGAGAGGAAGGUCCCCCACAUUGGAACUGAGACACGGUCCAAACUCCUACGGGAGGCAGCAGUGAGGAAUAUUGGUCAAUGGACGGAAGUCUGAGCCAGCCAAGUCGCGUGAAGGAUGAAGGUUCUAUGGAUUGUAAACUUCUUUUGUCUGAGGGUAAAAAAGCGGACGUGUCCGUUCUUGCAAGUAUCAGACGAAUAAGCAUCGGCUAACUCCGUGCCAGCAGCCGCGGUAAUACGGAGGAUGCGAGCGUUAUCCGGAUUUAUUGGGUUUAAAGGGAGCGUAGGCGGGCUAUUAAGUCAGUCGUCAAAGCCUGUGGCUCAACCACAGCCCGCGAUUGAUACUGGUAACCUUGAGUGCGGAUGAGGUGGAUGGAAUUCGUGGUGUAGCGGUGAAAUGCUUAGAUAUCACGAAGAACUCCGAUUGCGAAGGCAGUCCACUGGGCCGCAACUGACGCUGAAGCUCGAAAGUGCGGGUAUCAAACAGGAUUAGAUACCCUGGUAGUCCGCACCGUAAACGAUGGACACUCGCUGCCGGCGAUAUACAGUCGGUGGCCUCGCGAAAGCCUUAAGUGUCCCACCUGGGGAGUACGCCGGCAACGGUGAAACUCAAAGGAAUUGACGGGGGCCCGCACAAGCGGAGGAACAUGUGGUUUAAUUCGAUGAUACGCGAGGAACCUUACCCGGGCUUGAACUAUGGUGGACCGUUCCAGAGAUGGAUCUUCCCUUCGGGGCCGCCAUGGAGGUGCUGCAUGGUUGUCGUCAGCUCGUGCCGUGAGGUGUCGGCUUAAGUGCCAUAACGAGCGCAACCCUUGCUGAUAGUUACCAUCAGGUGAUGCUGGGGACUCUAUCAGGACUGCCGCCGUAAGGUGAGAGGAAGGGGGGGAUGACGUCAAAUCAGCACGGCCCUUACGUCCGGGGCGACACACGUGUUACAAUGGCAGGUACAGAGGGCGGCCAGGCAGCGAUGCCGCGCAAAUCUCGAAAGCCUGUCUCAGUUCGGAUUGGAGUCUGCAACUCGACUCCAUGAAGUUGGAUUCGCUAGUAAUCGCGCAUCAGCCAUGGCGCGGUGAAUACGUUCCCGGGCCUUGCACUCACCGCCCGUCA